ACUCCUACGGGAGGCAGCAGUAGGGAAUCUUCCACAAUGGACGCAAGUCUGAUGGAGCAACGCCGCGUGAGUGAAGAAGGGUUUCGGCUCGUAAAACGCUGUUGUUGGAGAAGAACCGGGGGUAGAGUAACUGUUAUCCCCUGACGGUAUCCAACCAGAAAGCCACGGCUAACAC
rnacentral:rRNA from 1 species